GUAACUAUGUUUUCUGUUCUUUUUCUUCUUUUGAUAAGUUUUUCAUUGAGAUUUCUUACAACAAAAUCAAUUCUUUUUCUAGGAAAAUUUGGUCACAUACCUGCAAUGUGUAGCUUCACACAUAACAGGAGAUGAAAAAGUGACCGUGACCCACAAAUAGUGAUGGGUCCCUAACAGAACCUCCAUCAAUAACUUCAGUCCUCCAUCUGCAAAUAAACAGGUUAUUCAAUCCGAGAUAAUGUUAUAAUGCGUGCUUUGGGAAAUGUCAAUGAACGGAGAAGUGCUAGAUCAAUAAUAACUUGUUAGGAGUUGUGUAAGAGCGAAG